rnacentral:rRNA from 1 species
UACAGAGGGUGCAAGCGUUGUUCGGAAUUAUUGGGCGUAAAGGGCGCGUAGGCGGUGCGGUAAGUCUGCGGUGAAAUCUCCCGGCUCAACUGGGAGGCUGCCGUGGAAACUGCCGCGCUUGAGUGUGGGAGAGGUGAGUGGAAUUCCCGGUGUAGCGGUGAAAUGCGUAGAUAUCAAGCGGAACACCGGUGGCGAAGGCGGCCGACUGGGCCGACCCUGAUGCUGAGGCGCGAAGGCGUGGGGAGCGAACGGG